UUAGGAUUCAGAGACUAAGCGAAAGUGAUAAGUAAUCCACCUGGGGAGUACGUUCGCAAGAAUGAAACUCAAAGGAAUUGACGGGGGCCCGCACAAGCGGUGGAGCAUGUGGUUUAAUUCGAUGAUACGCGAGGAACCUUACCAAGACUUAAAUGGGAAAUGACAGAUUUAGAAAUAGAUCCUUCUUCGGACAUUUUUCAAGGUGCUGCAUGGUUGUCGUCAGCUCGUGCCGUGAGGUGUUAGGUUAAGUCCUGCAACGAGCGCAACCCCUGUCACUAGUUGCUAACAUUAAGUUGAGGACUCUAGUGAGACUGCCUACGCAAGUAGAGAGGAAGGUGGGGAUGACGUCAAAUCAUCACGGCCCUUACGUCUUGGGCCACACACGUGCUACAAUGGCCGGUACAGAGGGCAGCUACCUAGUGAUAGGAUGCAAAUCUCGAAAGCCGGUCUCAGUUCGGAUUGGAGUCUGCAACUCGACUCUAUGAAGCUGGAAUCGCUAGUAAUCGCGCAUCAGCCAUGGCGCGGUGAAUACGUUCCCGGGCCUUGUACACACCGCCCGUCAAGCCAUGGAAGCUGGGGGUACCUGAAGUCGGUGACCGUAAAAGGAGCUGCCUAGGGUAAAACUAGUAACUAGGGCUAAGUCGUAACAAGGUAGCCGUACCGGAAGGUGCGGCUGGAACAUCUCAUUU
rnacentral:rRNA from 1 species